UACGAAGGGUGCUAGCGUUGUUCGGAAUCACUGGGCGUAAAGGGCGCGUAGGCGGCCUGGUAAGUAGGGGGUGAAAUCCUGCGGCUCAACCGCAGGGCUGCCUUCUAAACUGUCAGGCUGGAGCACGGUAGAGGCAGAUGGAAUUCCCGGUGUAGCGGUGGAAUGCGUAGAGAUCGGGAAGAACACCAGUGGCGAAGGCGGUCUGCUGGGCCGUUGCUGACGCUGAGGCGCGAUAGCGUGGGGAGCAAACAGG
rnacentral:rRNA from 1 species